rnacentral:rRNA from 1 species
GACGAACGCUGGCGGCGUGCCUAAUACAUGCAAGUUGAGCGAUGAAGCUUGGUGCUUGCACCAAUUUGAAGAGCAGCGAACGGGUGAGUAACGCGUGGGGAAUCUGCCUUUGAGCGGGGGACAACAUUUGGAAACGAAUGCUAAUACCGCAUAACAACUUUAAACAUAAGUUUUAAGUUUGAAAGAUGCAAUUGCAUCACUCAAAGAUGAUCCCGCGUUGUAUUAGCUAGUUGGUGAGGUAACGGCUCACCAAGGCGAUGAUACAUAGCCGACCUGAGAGGGUGAUCGGCCACAUUGGGACUGAGACACGGCCCAAACUCCUACGGGAGGCAGCAGUAGGGAAACUUCGGCAAUUGACGAAAGUCUGACCGAACAACGCCGCGUGAGUGAAGAAGGGUUUCGGAUCGUAAAACUCUGUUGGUAGAGAAGAACGUUGGGGAGAGUGGAAAGCUCAUCAAGUGACGGUAACUACACAGAAAGGGACGGCUAACUACGUG